rnacentral:rRNA from 1 species
UCUUCCGGGUAGGUAGUAGUUAAGGUGAUGGCUUAACUAGCCAAAAACUCUCGUAGUCGAAGCUGAAAGGUUGAUCGACCACAUUGGGUCUGAAAAAACCCCAAUGCAAGUUAGUACAGCAGUGAGGAAUCUUGGUCAAUGGCCUAACGGCUGAACUGGCAACUUGGAGAAGUGGCAAGUCUUAUUUUGAUUAUAUUACAAUAUAUAAUCUAUAAGAUUGUAUUAAAAUUGAAUAAAGCUUUGUUUAUAUAUUGAUAAUGACAGUAUAUAUAUCGUGUCUUGACUAAUUACGUGCCAGCAGUCGCGGUAAUACGUAAGAGACUAGUGUUAUUCAUCUUGAUUAGGUUUAAAGGGUACCUAGACGGUCAAUAUAUCUUCUAAAAUGUUAGUACUUGACUAGAGUUUGAUAUAAGAGGGCAGUACUUGAGGAGGAGAGAUGAAAUUCUAUUAUACCAAAGGGACUCGGUAAAGGCGAAGGCAGCCCUCUAUGUAAAAACUGACGUUGAAGGACGAAGGCACAGAGCACAAACAGGAUUAGAUACCCAAGUAGUCUUUGCAGUAAAUGAUGAAUGCCAUAGGUUUAGAUUAA